UCGGGAAUUUUGGGCAGUGGGCGAAAGCCUGACCCAGCAACGCCGCGUGAGGGAUGAAGUAUUUCGGUAUGUAAACCUCGAAAGAAUGGGAAGAAUAAAUGACGGUACCAUUUAUAAGCUCCGGCUAACUACGUGCCAGCAGCCGCGGUAAUACGUAGGGAGCAAGCGUUGUUCGGAUUUACUGGGCGUAAAGGGCGCGUAGGCGGCGCGGUAAGUCACUUGUGAAAUCUCUGAGCUUAACUCAGAACGGCCAAGUGAUACUGCUGUGCUAGAGUGCGGAAGAGGCAACCGGAAUUCUUGGUGUAGCGGUGAAAUGCGUAGAUAUCAAGAGGAACACCUGAGGCGAAGGCGGGUUGCUGGGCCGACACUGACGCUGAUGCGCGAAAGCCAGGGGAGCAAACG
rnacentral:rRNA from 1 species